GACGAACGCUGGCGGCGUGCUUAACACAUGCAAGUCGAACGGAAAGGCCCUGCUUUUGUUGGUUUCUCGAGUGGCGAACGGGUGAGUAACACAUGAGUAACCUGCCCUUGACUUUGUGAUAACUUCAGGAAACUCGGGCUCAUACCCGAUAUGAGCUCCUGCUGCAUGUUGGGGGUUGGAAAGUUUCGGCGGUUGGGGAUGGACUCGCGGCUUAUCCGCUUGUUUGUGUGGUAGUGGCUUACCAAGGCUUUGACGGAUAGCCGGCCUGGGAGGGUGACCGGCCACAUUGGGACUGAGGUACGGCGCAGAAUCGUACGGGAGGCAGAAGUGGGGAAUAUUGCAGAAUGGGCGGAAGCCUGAUGCAGAAAUGCCGCGUGCGGGAUGACGGCCUUCGGGUUGUAAACCGAUUUCGCAGGUGACGAAGCGUGAGUGACGGUAAUGGGUAAAGAAGCAACGGCUAACUACGUG
rnacentral:rRNA from 1 species